rnacentral:rRNA from 1 species
UACCAGCACCCCGAGUGGUCGGGACGUUUAUUGGGCCUAAAGCAUCCGUAGCCGGUUCUACAAGUCUUCCGUUAAAUCCAACUGCUUAACAGGUGGGCUGCGGAAGAUACUAUAGAGCUAGGAGGCGGGAGAGGCAAGCGGUACUCGAUGGGUAGGGGUAAAAUUCGUAGAUAUUCGGAAGAACACCAGUGGCGAAGGCGACUUACUGGACACAUAUUGACGCUGAGGUGCGAAAGCGUGGGGAGCAAACAGG